rnacentral:rRNA from 1 species
CUUACACACAUUGUCUAGUUUUUUUGAACUUUGCUUUGGGUGCAUCAGCCUAGCUGCGUGCCCAAAGGUCUAAACACAUUUUUUAAUGUUAAAACCUUUAACCAAUAGUCAUGAAAAUUUUUAACAAAAAUUAAAAUCUUCAAAACUUUCAACAACGGAUCUCUUGGUUCUCGCAACGAUGAAGAACGCAGCGAAAUGCGAUACGUAUUGUGAAUUGCAGAUUUUCGUGAAUCAUCGAAUCUUUGAACGCACAUUGCACCCUCUGGUAUUCCAGAGGGUAUGCCUGUUUGAGCGUCAUUUCUCUCUCAAACCUUCGGGUUUGGUAUUGAGUGAUACUCUGUCAAGGGUUAACUUGAAAUAUUGACUUAGCAAGAGUGUACUAAUAAGCAGUCUUUCUGAAAUAAUGUAUUAGGUUCUUCCAACUCGUUAUAUCAGCUAGGCAGGUUUAGAAGUAUUUUAGGCUCGGCUUAACAACAAUAAACUAAAAGUUUGACCUCAAAUCAGGUAGGACUACCCGCUGAACUUAAGCAUAUC